rnacentral:rRNA from 1 species
AUAAUGGGUCAGCGACUUAUAUUCUGUAGCAAGGUUAACCGAAUAGGGGAGCCGAAGGGAAACCGAGUCUUAACUGGGCGUUAAGUUGCAGGGUAUAGACCCGAAACCCGGUGAUCUAGCCAUGGGCAGGUUGAAGGUUGGGUAACACUAACUGGAGGACCGAACCGACUAAUGUUGAAAAAUUAGCGGAUGACUUGUGGCUGGGGGUGAAAGGCCAAUCAAACCGGGAGAUAGCUGGUUCUCCCCGAAAGCUAUUUAGGUAGCGCCUCGUGAAUUCAUCUCCGGGGGUAGAGCACUGUUUCGGCAAGGGGGUCAUCCCGACUUACCAACCCGAUGCAAACUGCGAAUACCGGAGAAUGUUAUCACGGGAGACACACGGCGGGUGCUAACGUCCGUCGUGAAGAGGGAAACAACCCAGACCGCCAGCUAAGGUCCCAAAGUCAUGGUUAAGUGGGAAACGAUGUGGGAAGGCCCAGACAGCCAGGAUGUUGGCUUAGAAGCAGCCAUCAUUUAAAGAAAGCGUAAUAGCUCACUGGUCGAGUCGGCCUGCGCGGAAGAUGUAACGGGGCUAAACCAUGCACCGAAGCUGCGGCAGCGACGCUGAUGCGUUGUUGGGUAGGGGAGCGUUCUGUAAGCCUGCGAAGGUGUGCUGUGAGGCAUGCUGGAGGUAUCAGAAGUGCGAAUGCUGACAUAAGUAACGAUAAAGCGGGUGAAAAGCCCGCUCGCCGGAAGACCAAGGGUUCCUGUCCAACGUUAAUCGGGGCAGGGUGAGUCGACCCCUAAGGCGAGGCCGAAAGGCGUAGUCGAUGGGAAACAGGUUAAUAUUCCUGUACUUGGUGUUACUGCGAAGGGGGGACGGAGAAGGCUAUGUUGGCCGGGCGACGGUUGUCCCGGUUUAAGCGUGUAGGCUGGUUUUCCAGGCAAAUCCGGAAAAUCAAGGCUGAGGCGUGAUGACGAGGCACUACGGUGCUGAAGCAACAAAUGCCCUGCUUCCAGGAAAAGCCUCUAAGCAUCAGGUAACAUCAAAUCGUACCCCAAACCGACACAGGUGGUCAGGUAGAGAAUACCAAGGCGCUUGAGAGAACUCGGGUGAAGGAACUAGGCAAAAUGGUGCCGUAACUUCGGGAGAAGGCACGCUGAUAUGUAGGUGAAGUCCCUCGCGGAUGGAGCUGAAAUCAGUCGAAGAUACCAGCUGGCUGCAACUGUUUAUUAAAAACACAGCACUGUGCAAACACGAAAGUGGACGUAUACGGUGUGACGCCUGCCCGGUGCCGGAAGGUUAAUUGAUGGGGUUAGCGCAAGCGAAGCUCUUGAUCGAAGCCCCGGUAAACGGCGGCCGUAACUAUAACGGUCCUAAGGUAGCGAAAUUCCUUGUCGGGUAAGUUCCGACCUGCACGAAUGGCGUAAUGAUGGCCAGGCUGUCUCCACCCGAGACUCAGUGAAAUUGAACUCGCUGUGAAGAUGCAGUGUACCCGCGGCAAGACGGAAAGACCCCGUGAACCUUUACUAUAGCUUGACACUGAACAUUGAGCCUUGAUGUGUAGGAUAGGUGGGAGGCUUUGAAGUGUGGACGCCAGUCUGCAUGGAGCCGACCUUGAAAUACCACCCUUUAAUGUUUGAUGUUCUAACGUUGACCCGUAAUCCGGGUUGCGGACAGUGUCUGGUGGGUAGUUUGACUGGGGCGGUCUCCUCCUAAAGAGUAACGGAGGAGCACGAAGGUUGGCUAAUCCUGGUCGGACAUCAGGAGGUUAGUGCAAUGGCAUAAGCCAGCUUGACUGCGAGCGUGACGGCGCGAGCAGGUGCGAAAGCAGGUCAUAGUGAUCCGGUGGUUCUGAAUGGAAGGGCCAUCGCUCAACGGAUAAAAGGUACUCCGGGGAUAACAGGCUGAUACCGCCCAAGAGUUCAUAUCGACGGCGGUGUUUGGCACCUCGAUGUCGGCUCAUCACAUCCUGGGGCUGAAGUAGGUCCCAAGGGUAUGGCUGUUCGCCAUUUAAAGUGGUACGCGAGCUGGGUUUAGAACGUCGUGAGACAGUUCGGUCCCUAUCUGCCGUGGGCGCUGGAGAACUGAGGGGGGCUGCUCCUAGUACGAGAGGACCGGAGUGGACGCAUCACUGGUGUUCGGGUUGUCAUGCCAAUGGCACUGCCCGGUAGCUAAAUGCGGAAGAGAUAAGUGCUGAAAGCAUCUAAGCACGAAACUUGCCCCGAGAUGAGUUCUCCCUGACUCCUUGAGAGUCCUGAAGGAACGUUGAAGACGACGACGUUGAUAGGCCGGGUGUGUAAGCGCAGCGAUGCGUUGAGCUAACCGGUACUAAUGAACCGUGAGG